rnacentral:rRNA from 1 species
GAUGAACGCUGGCGGCGUGCCUAAUACAUGCAAGUCGAGCGAAUGGAUUGAGAGCUUGCUCUUAUGAAGUUAGCGGCGGACGGGUGAGUAACACGUGGGUAACCUGCCCAUAAGACUGGGAUAACUCCGGGAAACCGGGGCUAAUACCGGAUAACAUUUUGAACCGCAUGGUUCGAAAUUGAAAGGCGGCUUCGGCUGUCACUUAUGGAUGGACCCGCGUCGCGUUAGCUAGUUGGUGAGGUAACGGCUCACCAAGGCAACGAUGCGUAGCCGACCUGACAGGGUGAGCGGCCCCGCUGGGACUGGCACACGACCCAGACUCCGACGGGAGGCAGCAGUAGGGAAUCUUCCGCAAUGGACGAAAGUCUGACGGAGCAACGCCGCGUGAGUGAUGAAGGCUUUCGGGUCGUAAAACUCUGUUGUUAGGGAAGAACAAGUGCUAGUUGAAUAAGCUGGCACCUUGACGGUACCUAACCAGAAAGCCACGGCUAACUACGUGCCAGCCGCCGCUGUAA